UACAGAGGAUGCAAGCGUUAUCCGGAAUGAUUGGGCGUAAAGCGUCUGUAGGUGGCUUUUUAAGUCCGCCGUCAAAUCCCAGGGCUCAACUCUGGACAGGCGGUGGAAACUACCAAGCUGGAGUACGGUAGGGGCAGAGGGAAUUUCCAGUGGAGCGGUGAAAUGCGUAGAUAUUGGAAAGACCACCGAUGGCGAAGGCACUCUACUGGGCCAUUACUGACACUGAGAGACGAAAGCUAGGGGAGCAAAUGGG
rnacentral:rRNA from 1 species